GGGUGAGUAACACGUGGAUAACCUACCUAUAAGACUGGGAUAACUUCAGGAAACCGGAGCUAAUACCGGAUAAUAUAUUGAACCGCAUGGUUCAAUAGUGAAAGACGGUUUUGCUGUCACUUAUAGAUGGAUCCGCGCCGCAUUAGCUAGUUGGUAAGGUAACAGCUUACCAAGGCAACGAUGCGUAGCCGACCUGAGAGGGUGAUCGGCCACACUGGAACUGAGACACGGUCCAG
rnacentral:rRNA from 1 species